GCCGCAAAAGCAUCUAACACCAAUUACCAUCAAAGGCACCUCAACCAACAUCUGGCUGGUGUUUCCUGCAACUGAAAGUGCCCCGGAGGAUUUUGUGCCGUCUUUCCAUCCACUGUACACCGGCCCAGGGAAGCAUCUGCUAACUGUGAAUACAUGAACUACUGCACCCAUCGGCCCACCGUAAGGGUGACAUCUAUAGGAAGGACGAGUACGUGAACCCCUCGUUUAAGCCAUUUGGAGACAGACUAUUCAGUCAAGCCUUUCGGUCUUCCUGGCCCUAUUAUAGGCCCGAUGCAGGCAUUUUUUGGAAUACCCUCUCUCAUAGAAACUUUUACCACAAUUGAUCACAUCAAAUACUCCUGUUUUGCCAAUAAACAAGUUAGACUACACAGAACAGUCCUCUUAUUUGGAAGACAGGAAUGGUUUAUACUGAAUUUCAGACUGCACACUGUGUGAACGUGUAUGAAGACAGAACAGUAAAACAGAUGCUAGUCACCAGCGAUAGUGGAUCUGACUAUACGGAGCCGCCAUCAGCCACUCGUACCUACGUACACGAUUGCAGUGGCUGCCAUACAGCCACAAGAAGUGAGAGUGAAGCUACCAGCAAGUGCAGCACGGUCCAGACCAUGCUGAAAUCUAUGUCUACAUAGACUGAGUACAGCACAGAGACAUUAAGCAGCCAGCAAAAGGCACACAAUGUCCGCUAGCCAGGCAUCAUCAUACAGGAUCAGGUCUCGAUCAAGUUGCUCUCGCCCAUGCAGAAGCUGAGGCUGCAAAAGUAAGGUCUUCCUUUGCUACAAAAGAGAUGCAACUAAAGAAAGAGAAAAAGUGUUACUGGAAGAAAAUACAGCUUGCCUGCAAGCAUCACUAGAAAACCUUGCCGCGGAGAAAGAAGUGGCAGCCACAAUAGCCAAAGCAGAGUAACUAGAAGCCAUGGAAUACCCCGAAUCUGAGAAACACAGUCAAGUACUUGGGCCAGACCUAGAUCAACAAGAUCCAGCACAGCGUGUCUCAGAAUAUGUCCAUCAGCAUCCCAUACCAAAUGACAACUGUGAUCCAGUAUAUCAGUCAGCUUAUACAGAGUGCCAAAGAUCCUACCUUGAAACCACAGUACCUCAAGUAGGAUGGUAUGCGACAAAGCGAUGCUGACCAUAACUACCGCCCUACAGAACAAAAGCUACAACCUUUGCUUCAAUUUAAAGGGACACCCUUCGCAUAAGAACAGUAUUAUACAGACUUCCCUAAGCAAGAAACCCCUAAAAGGUAUGGUGAUACACCGUAUAUGCAACAUAACAACAACAGGAGCUGGUUACCAAAUGACUUAUAAAGUUCACCGAUCGCCCCGAGAACUACAGGACAUGGCGAGCCUCCUUCCAGAAGAGACUUAGAUCUUUCCUAUAGUGAGGAGUUAGAUCUCUUGGUAAAGUGGCUUGGAAGCGAGUCUGCUGAACACGCCAAAAGAAUCAGAGACAUUAACAAACUAUCCGGGCAAAGGCCUAACGAUGGUCUGGGAAAGACUUGAUAAGUGUUACAGGUCAAUAGAAGCUAUAGAAAAUGCUUUAUUUAAGAAAAUUGAUCAUUUUCACAGAAUAGUGGGUAGGGGGUCAUCCGAAGCUCAGGGAACUCAGCGACUUGUUAAAAGCAGCUCAAGCAGGAGUGCCAGGGCAAGCAUUCCAGAGGUGUCAACUCGAUUGUCCAAAAACUCCCUUAUAACUAGUGUUGAGCGUGAAUAUUCAAAAAGCAACAUGAGCUUAGCAACAUCCCUAGCAAUGAAUAGAAAAGUUACCUACCCCUUACUAUAUAUAGAACCUCCCCAGCAGCUUUUUUCUAUAGUUUAUUCCAGUUAUGAAAGAUACAGCUGGUCAUUGCUGUGCUCUGUGCUUUGUUCUAUUACAUUAGACUGUUAACUUAUAUAUAUAAUUAAGAUAGUUAGGGGGAGAUAGUCAGUGU